rfam:Brachypodium distachyon strain Bd21 chromosome 3, whole genome shotgun sequence.
UCAUUACUCCCUCCGAUCCAUAUUACUUGUCGAAAUAUUACAUGUAUGCAGACGCUUUUUAAAUAUAGAUACAUCCAUAUUUAAGCAAAUUUGAGACAAGUAAUAUGGAUUGGAGGGAGUACAUG